ACAUGAUGACCGUCUCGGUGAUCUGUGCCUUGGUGACCUCCUGGGGGAGCGAGAACGCGAUAGCGAGUGUCUUGAUUCUAUAUAAACUGUGUCCCCCCGUGAGGGUCUUGUAAGUAGUUGGUAAGAAGGCGAGAGGCUAUAGUCCCGGUGCUGUCGGUAUCUCGGUGGAGAAGGGGACGGUCCCGGGGAGAAGGUAGGCGAUGGGGACAAAGCCCUGUAGAUUUCUUUCCCCGCAGCUUUACAAGGCAAUGAAGCCUUGUCAAUUUCAGCUGCUGGUGGAGAGCUCGGGGCUGAGCCUGGCUGCGGUGCCGAUGGAGAGCCACAUGGGGGCAGUGUUGGCGGUGCCGAGGAUAAGCCCAGUGCCGACAGAUCAGAGUAUGCCUGUGGCGCCACUUGGGACGUUUGCCGGCUCGGCACCGGGGGGUUUAAAAGCGCCCCAGCCGGUGCCGCUAGAGCAGCUGUUGGCGGUGCCGGCUUGCACGCUCCCGCUGAUGCCGGCUUCUGAACUAUUGCCGGAGCCAGUGCUGCUGUCACUUGUAGUCCUGGCUCAGGCGAUCUCCUCACUCUAGGAGCUCGUUGGUGCCCUGGGGCAGGUACCCCGAUGAUUUGUCAGGGCAUUUGACAUUGGUGGUAGCAGGGAGGGAUCGCGCUGGGGACGGCUUAGAUUUUUUAGUAACGGUCGUCCCAGGAGACGUUGCCUGCCGUUUCUGAGCCGCUAUGCCAGAGGCAGGUACGGCAUCGGACUCCAGCGCCUUGCCAUAAAGGAUGAGUUUGAGGCACAAAUCUCGAUCCUUACGAGCCCUCGCCGUUAACUUACUGCAGCAGGGGCUGAGCGCUCUGGGGAGAGAGCCUCUCCUUACAUCACCCAGUGAUGAGACAGAGAAGAAUUGAUAAGAACCAAGGCAUCCUGGCUACAUUUGGUAAAGCAAACUACAGGAGAGGGAGCUGUUUCUCCGUCUGUACCUGAAGAUGGUUAAGAGAACUGGCGGGCCGGACCGCGCGACUAGAAAUGGCGCGAAAAGCCGCAAGAUGGCCACUGCGCAUGCACAGUCUGGC